rnacentral:rRNA from 1 species
UACGGAGGGGGCAAGCGUUGUUCGGAAUUACUGGGCGUAAAGGGCGCGUAGGCGGCCUGUUAAGUCGAACGUGAAAUCCCCGGGCUCAACCCGGGAACUGCGUCCGAAACUGGCAGGCUCGAAUUCGGGAGAGGGAUGCGGAAUUCCAGGUGUAGCGGUGAAAUGCGUAGAUAUCUGGAGGAACAUCGGUGGCGAAGGCGGCAUCCUGGACCGAUAUUGACGCUGAGGCGCGAAAGCCAGGGGAGCAAACGGG